rnacentral:rRNA from 1 species
AUUGAACGCUGGCGGCAGGCCUAACACAUGCAAGUCGAACGAGUGGCGGACGGGUGAGUAAUGUCUGGGAAACUGCCCGAUGGAGGGGGAUAACUACUGGAAACGGUAGCUAAUACCGCAUACCAUCGGAUGUGCCCAGAUGGGAUUAGCUUGUAGGUGAGGUAACGGCUCACCUAGGCGACGAUCCCUAGCUGGUCGGAGAGGAUGACCAGCCCAGCGGGAACUGAGACACGGUGCAGACUCCGACGGGAGGCAGCAGUGGGGAAUAGUGCACAAUGGGCGCAAGCCUGAUACAGCCAUGACGCGGUUAUGAAGAAGGCCGUCUGGUUGUAAAGUAAUUUCAGCGGGGAGGCGUUACCCGCAGAAGAAGCACCGGCUAACUCCGUUCCAGCAGCUGCGGUAAUUU